rnacentral:rRNA from 1 species
AAAGUCGUAACAAGGUUUCCGUAGGUGAACCUGCGGAAGGAUCAUUAUUGAUUGUGAAUCGUUGCCUCCAGUGCUGGCUCUCGCAAGUGCACGGUUGGUGACUUUCAUCCAACACCCUGUGAACCUUUGGCCUCUUGCUAGCUUCGGCUGGCAGAGGAUUUUUACACACACUCGAAUGUAAUGAAAUUAUUGUCGUGCGCAAGCACUUAUGUACAACUUUCAACAACGGAUCUCUUGGCUCUCGCAUCGAUGAAGAACGCAGCGAAAUGCGAUAAGUAAUGUGAAUUGCAGAAUUCAGUGAAUCAUCGAAUCUUUGAACGCACCUUGCACCCUUUGGCAUUCCGAAGGGUAUGCUCGUUUGAGUGUCAUUGUACUCUCACACUUCUGAUCCUUUGGAUUUGGAGCGGUGGACUUGGGUGUUGCCACUUGACAGUGGCUCACCUCUAAUGCAUUAGUGCAACUCCUGGUUGGACCAUAGUACGGCGUGAUAAGUGUCUUCGCCGGCACCUCGUGAGAGGGUGGCCGAUCGAGAGCUCUGUGCUUUCAAACCGUCCUUGCAAGGACAAUGACUGACAACUUGACCUCAAAUCGAGUAGGACUACCCGCUGAACUUAAGCAUAUCAAUAA